UACGUAGGGGGCAAGCGUUGUCCGGAUUUAUUGGGCGUAAAGAGCGUGUAGGCGGCCUGAAAGGUCAGCUGUGAAACUCGAGGCUCAACCUCGAGACGUCGGUUGAAACCAUCUGGCUAGAGUCCGGAAGAGGAGUGUGGAAUUCCCGGUCGUAGCGGUGAAAUGCGCAGAUAUCGGGAAGAACACCCGUGGCGAAGGCGGCACUCUGGGACGGUACUGACGCUGAGACGCGAAAGCGUGGGGAGCGAACAGG
rnacentral:rRNA from 1 species